rnacentral:pre_miRNA from 1 species
UAUUGAGAAUUUUAUCCAUUUCUGCUAUUAAACACGAGCACAGCUGACAAAAUAACUAAAUAACAGCAUGUGGUGUGCCACGUGUAACUCAUUCUCAUUAAUUUUAAACAUUAGGAAUUGAUGAAAUUUUUAACA